GGAGGAAGGAAAGGAGAGGGAGAGAGAGAGCGGGAGGGGAGGCGUGGAACCCAGAGCGCACCGGGGCGGCCCGCGGGGCGGUGCCUGGAGGCAGCGGCGCGAUGGGGCGAAGGGCGGGGUGGAGAACUGAAUUUCUACAAAAAAUGGUGGCACAGAUCUGACCUACAGUAAUACCUUGAAAGAGUAUGAAUAUUUCAGCAAACUGCCUCUUCAGUGGUUCCUCGUUAGCGUCUGAAGUACAUGCUGCUGCUGUUAAUGGAGAUAAGAGUACCCUCCAAAAGCUAAUAGCAGGAAACUCUGAGCUGAAAGAUAAAGAGGACCAGUUUGGAAGAACUCCCCUUAUGUACUGUGUGCUGGCUGACAGGCUUGACUGUGCAGAGGCGUUGCUGAAGGCUGGAGCUGAUGUUAACAGAGCAGAUCGCAGCCGAAGAACUGCUCUCCAUCUUGCUGCACAAAAGGGAAAUUACCGCUUCAUGAAACUUUUGCUGGCUCGUAGAGGGAACUGGAUGCAGAAGGACUUAGAGGAUAUGACACCAUUGCAUUUAACUACACGUCACAAAAGUCCAAAAUGUUUAGCUUUGUUGUUAAAAUAUAUGGCACCUGGAGAAGUGGAUACCCAGGACAGAAACAAGCAAUUUUUCAAUGUGUUGAAAAAACUUGUGAAAAUUGUAUUGCAGCAAACUGCAUUGCAUUGGAGUGCCUACUACAAUAACCCAGAGCACGUGAAACUUCUCAUCAAACAUGAUUCAAAUAUUGGAAUUCCUGAUAUUGAAGGAAAAAUCCCACUUCACUGGGCAGCUAACAACAAGGACCCUAGUGCAAUCCACACAGUGAAAUGUAUUCUGGAAGCUGCACCUACAGAAUCUCUGCUGAACUGGCAAGACUAUGAAGGACGAACUCCUCUUCAUUUUGCUGUUGCAGAUGGGAAUGUAGCAGUUGUGGAUGUCCUGACCUCCUAUGAAGGCUGCAAUGUGACAUCUUAUGACAAUUUGUUUCGAACUCCCCUCCACUGGGCAGCCUUACUUGGUCAUGCACAGAUUGUCCAUCUCUUACUAGAAAGAAAUAAGUUUGGAACUAUCCCAUCUGAUAGUCAAGGUGCAACACCCCUACAUUAUGCAGCGCAGAGCAACUUUGCUGAAACAGUUGAAGUAUUUUUGAAACAUCCUUCUGUAAAAGAUGACUCAGAUCUUGAGGGAAGAACGUCCUUCAUGUGGGCAGCUGGCAAAGGCAGUGAUGAUGUCAUUAGGACUAUGCUGACUUUAAAAUUGGAUAUUGAUAUCAAUAUGACAGACAAAUACGCCGGCACAGCAUUACACGCUGCUGCCCUUUCUGGCCACGUCAGCACAGUGAAACUGCUGCUGGAGCACAAAGCACAGGUGGAUGCCCUGGAUGUGAUGAAACACACGCCGCUCUUCCGAGCCUGUGAGAUGGGUCACAAGGAGGUGAUCCAAACACUCAUCAAAGGAGGAGCCAGAGUAGAUUUGGUUGACCAGGAUGGGCAUUCACCCCUUCAUUGGGCAGCCCUGGGAGGAAAUGCUGAUGUGUGCCAAAUCCUGAUAGAAAAUAAAAUCAACCCUAAUGUGCAGGAUUAUGCAGGUAGAACACCUCUGCAGUGUGCUGCUUAUGGAGGCUACAUUAACUGCAUGGUAGUGUUGCUGGAAAACAAUGCAGAUCCAAAUAUUCAGGAUAAAGAGGGCAGAACUGCCCUGCACUGGCUCUGUAACAACGGCUACCUUGAUGCUAUAAAGUUACUGCUGGGCUUUGAUGCUUUCCCCAAUCACAUGGAGAACAGUGAGGAGAGAUAUACUCCACUUGAUUAUGCCCUGCUUGGUGAACACCACGAAGUGAUUCAGUUCAUGUUAGAACACGGGGCUCUGUCUAUAGCUGCCAUUCAGGAUAUUGCUGCUUUCAAAAUUCAGGCUGUCUACAAAGGAUACAAAGUUAGGAAGGCUUUUCAAGAGAGGAAGAAUCUUUUAAUGAAACAUGAACAGCUGAGAAAAGAUGCUGCUGCCAAGAAACGUGAAGAGGAAAGUAAGAGGAAAGAAGCCAAGCUGCAGAAAGGGGUGCAGAACGUGGAACAAAACAAGUUUCAGGUACAAGAGAAUCCCGCAAAUCGUGAGAAGGCCACCAGUGUCCCAAGGUUACCCAGCAAAGCAGCUGACACACAGAGCAAGAGGCUUCUGUCCCUCAAUGCUUCACAGAUCCAGCCAGGGAGAAACAGCCGAGGCUCACCUAAAGCUGGUCAUGACAAAGGGACCCCAAAGGAGAGCUGCCUGUCAGCAGAGCCUCAGAGCGAAGGUCAUAAGAUCAGGCAAGAUUCACUGAGGAAACACAUCAAAAGCAAGUCAAGCUGUGUCCAUUUCCACUGUGGCAAAGCAAACGAGGGGACAAAAGUUGAAGUGAAACCUCAGGUUGCAGCUGCUGCGGAGCCGGACGGAGAGAAGCACAAGGAGCACGCUGUCAACACAACGGAUGCCUGUGCUCGGAGGAGCAGGAGGCUUUCUGCUUCUGCCUGUAGGGCUGCCAGUGCUGGGGAGAAGCUGAAAGAUCCAAGUCAGCCUCCCUCUGGCAAGAGGGACCACGGUGAAGGAAGGGCUGUGUUCUUCUGCGAUGUGGGUUGUACCGGCGGAACGGCGCAAAACUCAAAGCUGGGCGAAGCUUCUUCCAAAGGCAAAAGGCACCAGCAGAAACCCAGGAAUAAAGAGGUAAAUGAUAAGAGAUGUUCACCAGCUGGUUCUAGUAGACCAGGAAGUGCCAAAACAGUGUUUGUAAGCUCCAGAAAUGACAGCCUGCAUGCUGUAGAACAAACUGUCAAAGUGGGAAACAAUGAAAUAGCAAAAAAGGCCUCUCCAUUAUUGUCUGCUGAGGCAGAACCUACCAGGACUGUGCCAAGAAACCCAAUAGCAUGUUCUGCUUCUGAUGACAGUUUGAACUUGGAAAAAACAGCCAUAAUUGGAUCCAGGAAUGCAGAUGAUCAAUUAUGUUCUGUUCCGUGGCAAAGUACAAAUAUUGAACUAAUCCCUUUAGAGAUUCGAAUGCAGAUCAUAGAAAAAGAAAGAAAAAGGAAGGAGCUUUUUCGGAAGAAGAACUACGCUGCCACAGUCAUACAGAGGACGUGGAGAAGGUCUCUCACUUGUUUAACAGUUUCUCUGAAGAAUUCUGAGUGGAAGAUUUCCAUGGCCAUGGCAGAGUUGAUCUUUAAAAAUCCCUUCCAACCCAAACCACUCUGGUUCUGUGAUUCCAUGCCAUAUUCCUCUGAACUGUGAGGCAAAGCAGCCACUUUUUCUCCCAGGGUUGCACCACAUCUGCUCUCUCUACUGCUUGCUCUUGGCCUUCUUUUUUGAUUUAGAUCCCAAGUUCUUGUCUGAUGGGUUCCAAUCACUUAGAUACCGAAAGCUAAAGGAAGCCAGGAGUAGGUAAGGAGAGCAUAUCUGCAAAUGGUGCUGCUGCUGGGGCUUUCUCUCAACACCAGUUUAAAAUCCUCUCUUACAGAGGGGCAGGCACUUGCUGUGACUCUAAGACAAAGCAGAACCACAUGUGGUGAGUGCUUGUGCACAUUUCCCCACAAGAGCUGGGAGCCAAAGCCAUGCAUGAGCUGCCUUACCUGCACAGAAAUCUGCAUUCCAUUCACACUACAGAUUUUGGAUAGGCCUUUCCAAACUGUGCACCUGCUGAAGCAGGGAUGGUGUGUGUUCUUUCCCAGAAGUGCAUGUGCUUACUAACCCUUUGCUUUAUGGAUAUUGUGUGGAUUAAAGAUUGUUUAAGUUACAUUUGUUAUUUAAAUAAAAGUAAAUAUCUUUGUUCUGUUUGCAAGAACUCAUAGAACACUAACAAAGAUCAUAAAUUCUGCACGGUUGCAGGACACAUUAGUUGGGCAGCUCUUCCACAGUCCUGUGUUUGCUUUUCUUCCGAACUUGCAUGAGGUAAAUAGCAUGUACUAGUAGACAGCAGUAAAAUUAUACAAUGUUAUUGUGUAAUUCUGCAUUAGAAUGUAAUUCUAAUGCAGAAUUAGAAACGUGUAGAAGUACAUGCUUGAGUUCUGGAAUUUCUCUAAAUUAGAACUAAAUGCAUUUGUCUCACUCUGCAAAUUUCAUAGUCUUGAUUUACUUAUUGAAAGCAAACACAACAGGAGAGUGGUACUGGUCUACUUAAGUGUAUUAUACUUGUUGUUCUCAGGAGAAUGUUUCAAUUCCCAAAUCUGCAAACUUUAUAAAUGUACUCCUCAAAAGUGUAUAUUCUAAGGUGUGUGGCUUGCCAAAGGUUAAUUGCUUAUCCUGCUCAGUGAGGCUUACACAUUCUGUGUCUGUUCUUCUCUCCUGGGGGGCACCAGGGCCUGUACCAUGCUCCAGGGCCCACAGAAGCUGGAAUAAGUUGGCUGCUGCCACUGUUGUUCUCCCACUGGAGUCAAAGCUGUAUUUUUAAAAUAUAUUAUUGCUGUGUGCAUACUUUGGCCAGCAGUGGUUUUUAAGAUUAGAGCUUCUGAAACAAGGAGUGAGAAUACCACUUGCCAGCUUCGUUGUUCUGCACGUGGAUAUUCCACUUUUCUUUUAUGUGCAGUAGUUUUGUUGACUAAGGAUCAAGUAUAUUUUAAGGCACCAUGUCAGAUUCAUGCUGUAUCAAUCUUGGUACCAUUCUCCUUUUUGCUCACUAGGAUCAGAAUGAUCUGUUAUGAGAGAGCUGAAUUAAAACAAUAUAGAGCACUUGCUCUACAGAGAACUGCCUAUGUCUUUCAAUGUCAGGACCUCACAGUCAUUUUCUUGUUGCUAAAAACUACCAGAAGCUCUCUGCAAACUUGAAAUCACAGCUGGGUGCAAAGGUGCAGUUACUGUGAAUGGGUCAUUUCACAUAUCAGCAAAGGCAUCUGGCAGUAAUUACCGAAUUCCAAGAGAGUAGCUUAGUAUUCUUUUCUGCUCCAGUAUAAAACAGUUCCCCAAUUGUUUUUUCUGCAGUUCAGUAUUCACUUAACCCAUCCUUAGCUCAACUUAUGUUACCAAGUCACUGCAACUGUGCUCUCUCUUCACUUUCUUUUCCUCUCUUACCCUGUGGAAAAGUUAAAAGUGGCAUAUUAUUUAAGAAGACUGGAUCCUUUUUCCCUCUGUCUAAUAAUACUCCUGUUCUGAAUUCAUACCAUGCUUCACAACUUGCAGGCCCUGACAAGAUGCAGUUGUUCCCUGCAUUUAUGUACUUCAAUGAGCUGCAUAACAGUACAUGCCUGAAUUCUGAAGCUUCACUAAAUUAAGAUUAAAUACAUUUGUCUCACCCAGCAAAUUUCACAGAGUUACCAGCUAAGACAGGAGUUGUUUCAGCUCCUUAGUGCUAAGCGGCACUGCAAGGAAGAUGAAGACAAAUGGAGACAAGAGGCAGCUGCCUUCUUCAUUCAGGUUGCUUGGAAGAAGCAGCUGAACCAUAGCCC